GCAUGUGCUGUGAGCUCGAUGAGUAGGGCGGGACACGUGGUAUCCUGUCUGAAUAUGGGGGGACCAUCCUCCAAGGCUAAAUACUCCUGACUGACCGAUAGUGAACCAGUACCGUGAGGGAAAGGCGAAAAGAACCCCGGCGAGGGGAGUGAAAAAGAACCUGAAACCGUGUACGUACAAGCAGUGGGAGCACCCUUUGGGGUGUGACUGCGUACCUUUUGUAUAAUGGGUCAGCGACUUAUAUUCUGUAGCAAGGUUAACCGUAUAGGGGAGCCGGAGGGAAACCGAGUCUUAACCGGGCGUUAAGUUGCAGGGUAUAGACCCGAAACCCGGUGAUCUAGCCAUGGGCAGGUUGAAGGUUGGGUAACACUAACUGGAGGACCGAACCGACUAAUGUUGAAAAAUUAGCGGAUGACCUGUGGCUGGGGGUGAAAGGCCAAUCAAACCGGGAGAUAGCUGGUUCUCCCCGAAAGCUAUUUAGGUAGCGCCUCGUGAAUUCAUCUCCGGGGGUAGAGCACUGUUUCGGCUAGGGGGCCAUCCCGGCUUACCAACCCGAUGCAAACUGCGAAUACCGGAGAAUGUUAUCACGGGAGACACACGGCGGGUGCUAACGUCCGUCGUGAAGAGGGAAACAACCCAGACCGCCAGCUAAGGUCCCAAAGUCAUGGUUAAGUGGGAAACGAUGUGGGAAGGCCCAGACAGCCAGGAUGUUGGCUUAGAAGCAGCCAUCAUUUAAAGAAAGCGUAAUAGCUCACUGGUCGAGUCGGCCUGCGCGGAAGAUGUAACGGGGCUAAACCAUGCACCGAAGCUGCGGCAGCGACGCUGAUGCGUUGUUGGGUAGGGGAGCGUUCUGUAAGCCUGCGAAGGUGGCCUGUGAGGGUUGCUGGAGGUAUCAGAAGUGCGAAUGCUGACAUAAGUAACGAUAAAGCGGGUGAAAAGCCCGCUCGCCGGAAGACCAAGGGUUCCUGUCCAACGUUAAUCGGGGCAGGGUGAGUCGACCCCUAAGGCGAGGCCGAAAGGCGUAGUCGAUGGGAAACGGGUUAAUAUUCCCGUACUUGGUGUUACUGCGAAGGGGGGACGGAGAAGGCUAUGUUGGCCGGGCGACGGUU
rnacentral:rRNA from 1 species